rnacentral:rRNA from 1 species
UACGUAGGCAGCGAGCGUUGUUCGGAGUUACUGGGCGUAAAGAGUGCGUAGGCGGUUUUCUAAGUUUGGUGUGAAAUCUCCCGGCUUAACUGGGAGGGUGCGCCGAAGACUGGAAGGCUGGAGUAUGGGAGAGGUAAGCGGAAUUCCUGGUGUAGCGGUGAAAUGCGUAGAUAUCAGGAGGAACACCUGCGGUGUAGACGGCUUACUGGACCAUAACUGACGCUGAGGCACGAAAGCGUGGGUAGCAAACAGG